rnacentral:rRNA from 1 species
AUUGAACGCUGGCGGCAGGCUUAACACAUGCAAGUCGAGCGGGGUGAUGGUGCUUGCACUAUCACUUAGCGGCGGACGGGUGAGUAAUGCUUAGGAAUCUGCCUAUUAGUGGGGGACAACAUUUCGAAAGGAAUGCUAAUACCGCAUACGUCCUACGGGAGAAAGCAGGGGAUCUUCGGACCUUGCGCUAAUAGAUGAGCCUAAGUCGGAUUAGCUAGUUGGUGGGGUAAAGGCCUACCAAGGCGACGAUCUGUAGCGGGUCUGAGAGGAUGAUCCGCCACACUGGGACUGAGACACGGCCCAGACUCCUACGGGAGGUAGCAGUGGGGAAUAUUGGACAAUGGGCGGAAGCCUGAUCCAGCCAUGCCGCGUGUGUGAAGAAGGCCUUAUGGUUGUAAAGCACUUUAAGCGAGGAGGAGGCUACUUUAGUUAAUACCUAGAGAUAGUGGACGUUACUCGCAGAAUAAGCACCGGCUAACUCUGUGCCAGCCGCCACCGUAAGAC